rnacentral:misc_RNA from 1 species
UGUAAGCUAAGACAGAGUAGUUGAUCUGUGUCCUAGUAGUCCAGGAGGACAAUUGAACUUGAGCAAUUCAAUGGUGUGGCAUUCUCCUUAGAUGUGAAAUGCUUUGAUUCAGAUUCAGUUUCUGUGGCCUAACAUUUUAUACGCCCAACUUAUUCUCUUCUUCUUCCUAGUGAUUUGAGUUCAUUGAUUGAUUACCAAUCUGAUCUAGAAUUUUCAUCAUUAUUAUUAUUGUUAUUGUUAUUGUUA